GACGAACGCUGGCGGCGUGCCUAAUACAUGCAAGUAGAACGCAGUUGCGAACGGGUGCGUAACGCGUAGGUAACUGCCUCAUCGCGGGGGAUAACUGUUGGAAACGAUAGCUAAUACCGCCUACUGUGAGAUGGACCUGCGUUUUAUUAGCUAGUUGGUGAGGUAAAGGCUCACCAAGGCGACGAUACAUAGCCGACCUGAGAGGGUGAUUGGCCACACUGGGAAUGGGACCCCGGCCAGACCCCCACGGGAGGGAGCAGGAGGGGAACGUUGGGAAAGGACCGAAAGCCUAACCGGCAAACCCCGGGGAGUUAAGAAAGUUUUCCGAUCGUAAAGCUCCUUUGGUAGAGAAGCGGUAACUAACCAGAAAGCCACGGCUAACUACGUGCCAGCAGCCGCGGUAAUAC
rnacentral:rRNA from 1 species